rnacentral:rRNA from 1 species
AGAUUGAACGCUGGCGGCAGGCCUAACACAUGCAAGUCGAGCGGCAGCACGGGUACUUGUACCUGGUGGCGAGCGGCGGACGGGUGAGUAAUGCCUAGGAAUCUGCCUGGUAGUGGGGGAUAACGCUCGGAAACGGACGCUAAUACCGCAUACGUCCUACGGGAGAAAGCAGGGGACCUUCGGGCCUUGCGCUAUCAGAUGAGCCUAGGUCGGAUUAGCUAGUUGGUGAGGUAAUGGCUCACCAAGGCGACGAUCCGUAACUGGUCUGAGAGGAUGAUCAGUCACACUGGAACUGAGACACGGUCCAGACUCCUACGGGAGCAGCAGUGGGGAAUAUGGACAAUGGGCGAAAGCCUGAUCCAGCCAUGCCGCGUAGUGUGAAGAAGGUCUUUACGGAUUGUAAAAGCUAACGUUUAAGUUAGGGAGGAAGGGCAAGUUACCUAAAUACGUAAUCUGUUUUGACGUUACCGUACAGAAUAAGACACCGGACUAAACUCUAGUGUCC